GAUGCCAUAUUGCGUUUUGCCGUUCCGAGCUGUGAAGCGUCGUAGAACAGGAGCCCGCAUCCCACUCCCGUUUUCUGAAUUAGUUUUAUUUUUCCGGAUCCUCGGCAUAUGCUCGAGUUGCUUUGUAGAGAGUACCUUCCACUUCAUUCAGACCAAAGAGGCUCUGACUCAUUCCGUCACCGCACUACGAGGCAGGCAGGGCUGCACCACGCAUGUUUGGGUACUCGCUCCCGCUGCGCUCCUCGCACACGCUCCGGCAGAAUCCUCGCGCGUCUCUCCCGGCUGCGCGCAGACCACUGCCCGCCUCUCCCAGAAUAAAUGAAUGGGAGGAACGCAGCCACAGGGCAGCGUCUGCUCUGCUUGCUGGCAGCCCGACUGCCGCACAGGGAACCGCUCGCUCUGCUUUGGCAUCGGGAAGGGAGGCACGGCGCUGAGAAAGCUUCUCCCCACCCCGAAGUCACCGCACGAAAUGCUGCAUAAGCCCCCGAGGCUGGGUCUCAGCCCCAAAAGGGCUCCGAGAGCACCGUGCGCGCUCCCUGUGCUGUGGCUGCCCAGGGCAGGCUGUUGGCUGAGCCUCUUCCAAUCCGCCCCCAGCACAGCUGUGAGCUCCAAGCAGAUGUCUCCGUGCAGAUGUGUCAUGUGUGCGUCCACAGGUAGUACCGCUGUGUUUUAGCAUUGGAUCUAGCAUUAGUCUGCAUGCGAAAGACCAUAGGGCUCUGUCAGUAUGCAGAUCAGCAAGGCAGUCCCUUCUAUGAAUGACUGUACUCAUCCUCUGUAUUUCCUAGAGAAUGUGCUAACAACAUGGUAAUCUGCACAGCUCUUGACUGAGAGUUGGUACUGUCACACAGACUGGCUUUAGGAGCAUAAAGGUAUUUUAACAGUGCAACUUCCACCUCUCCGGAUCAGGUUCGCUACAUAACCCAAAGUGCUUGCCUGUUUCAGAGCGCUCUGGGGACAGCAGCAGGCCCGGAUGUCUGGACGAACGUGCCACUCAGCAACGAGAUGGUGCAUCUACAGCCAUGUGGCAGACAGCAAAAAUAUCCUCACCCAGCUAAUGCAAGGUUCAUUGAUUUAAUGAAAGGAACCAUGGGAGAGAGGCAGAGGCUGGAGACAGCUGGAAAUCAAGUGGAGGCCCCGCAGAAGUUGCCACCCCAUCCUCUGCAUUCUGUUCUGCAGACGCGGCAUUCUCCCGCCUGCCACCUUUUUUUAUUCCAGUUGUACUCCUGUUACCUCAGGAGAAAGGAAUCUUUCCUUCUCAAACCUCCACCUUGCCAAGAGGUGUGGCACACGCCAUGGAAGAGAAGCCACAUUCAUGCUGAAGCAAGCUUUGGGCAACUUUCCCUUCUGCGGCAGGCUCGUGCAGCCUCUGCCCACGUCCCGGGGAAGUGCCGUAACUGCAGCCAGCCGCAUCAGGUUCACAAACUCACCUCCGUUUUGACGUGGUUACAUAACAGAGAUAAGGGGACAGUGCCUUUGCUGACAUUGCCUGGCACGCAGGAUGCUCUUCUACGUCACAAGAUGCCAUUAUGCCUCUGCAGUUCCUCUUUUGAGGGCCUAUGGCAGGGCUCAAAGCGUUCCCCCAGAAGCGAGCAGCACGCGGCAUGGUGGGGGCACCGAGGGUGGGAAGCAGCACCUGAGCGAGAUCUCAUGUGCUGCCACGGCCUGGACAAAGGUCCCUCAUUGUCUGUCAAGGCAGCGCAGUCUAUUGACCCAGACGUGCAGAACUAUGCCAGAGGUGAAAGUCGUUUGCUACAGAAAAUAGACACAAUUGCAGACCAGGACAGUUCUGACAAUAAGAAUGGAGAGAGGCACUGUGGCAGUGCAGAACGUACAGAUUGGGGCUCCAGCACGACGGUGUGAGUUGGACACAGGAACCCACUCGAGCAGUGCCUCCUGCCAGUAACGUGCUGAAACUGGUCAGACUCCCAGCUGAAUGCGUUCUUGACCAAAAGACAGUCAUCAGUUUGACAUGCAGGAGGCACGUCAUCUAGGAGAGACUGUCUUUCAGUGCACUGAUGUCGUGCCAUCAACAUGCACGCUUUAUGUAAUUAGUAUCUGUAAGAAAUGGGAAAGUAAGAGGUAAUACAAGUUGGAUUUUUUUUUUUUAACAUCCACGUUCAGGGAAAUCCAGUGACUGACGAUGCACUGCAUGUGAACAGUAAUCUUACAAUUAUCGAUCAUUACAGUCUAAGACUUCAAUUUGUCAUAAAAUGACAUUGUUGGUCUCAUUACAGCCUCUAGUGGACAGUAGUAAUCCACUUCACAGACCUGUCAUACAAGCUGCUCAGAUGACAAGUGUUAUCAAGGUGGGGGUUACGCUGAAAGAACACGAGGACACGGUCGUGCUUGUCCCGUGGCAGGAAGGAUUUUCCAAUAUAGUCGAGAGUUUGCUGGCAUUGAUCUGAAGGUGCCUUGCUUUAUGCUUCAGGUAUCAGUGCUGGCUCGUAAAUAAACAGAGAACUUUGCUCUCAAUUUCCAUCUCAGACAGCUUUCAUAAAAAAAAAAAAAAAAAAACUAAAUUAAUCUCAAAUGUUUUUAUAACAGAAAAUAUUGGUUGUCAUGUUUUUGGCUUAAGUAUGAUGUUUUUAUUCCAACUCGGGAUCUGCAGACUGUCCAAUCCACCUCCUCUCUAUUUAUAGCCUGCUUGCAUUCAGAUAAUUCUUGCAAAUGCAGUUAUUUUCAUUAUUAUUUCAGACAUAGGCAGCUGAUUUAAGGUAUUUUAGCAGCUUUAACGAGUGAGAAACUGUAAUUUGGAUUACAGCUGGCUAAUUAAGGUACGCUUUCCUCUGGGAAGUUAAACAUGUACACGACCCGAACAAUAACAUAUUUAGAAUGUAUUCUCUAACUUGAAGUGCCACUUGUGUGAACACAAUAACGUAUGACUAACAUCUUUAUUUUUCGUGUAUUUGCCUAGAAAUGAGUGCAUCCCUGUCAGAACAGGGAGGUUGACGAUGGUCUCCAAAACUCAGCUGGGAUUGUUUUCAGAUGGAAGGAAAUGAGAGUGGCACACACGGAGAAUCAAUGCUGUCUCUUUAAAGCCACAAUUAUCUCAUACAAAUUAACAUCUAGUGAAGCGAGAGCCAAGUAUUCACAAAGACUAAGCAAGUAUGUAGUACUACACUUUGACUCAAAGAGAAAACUCUAUGGUUCAAAAUGCUGAGGUCAGAAAACUGUAUGGUCUAAAAUGCUGAGGUCCUUUGCAAGUGAAUUCAAAGGAAAGGCUGCCAUUGAUUUUUUUACUGCACCUACGUAUGGGGCCGCAGGGUCACUGAACAAAACAUUUUUGUCAUUUCUUAUCAGACAGAUAAUGGGAUAUCAAGGUAAAAAUGUGUACCUCAUCAAUGUCUUGUUUUUUAAAAAGAAGCAGUCAAAUUCCCCUUUAAAAUAACAAUAGCUUCAAUGGCUUUAACAUGAAAAUAGCUCCUUCGAUGCAGAUGUGACACAAGAUGCUUUUUUUGUUUGCUUGGUUUUGUUUCUUUUUUAAACAGAGAAAGCAAUUCAUCAAGGGAAUAAAAACGGAUGACUCCUCUGAAGUCUCGAAAUGAAGACAGAUUUCAUAUUUUGAAUAUGUUGUCAGUUAGUUGUAUGUCAUUGAUGCAGAAGGAAAAGCAGCUAAGUUACCAGUGGUGGCCCUGGGAUGGACCGCAGCCAAGCCUAGCCCUGAAUGCUGUUCCAGCAGUGACCAGGGAAAAAUAAAAAUGCUAAGCGCUUCUCUCAAGGUGCUCAAUUGGUCUAGGCACGCUCGAGUAAUAACCACAACAGGUUGUUAGGUGCCUUGCGGCCUACGGUGUCAAGAUGUCAGAGGUCUCUGUCCACAUGCUGGUCUCCAUAAAACUCUUCUGACACUGCCCUUAACCCUGCAGGUGGUGUGAGCAGAAGGGCCAGGCAGGAGCAGAACCUCAGCUGCUGUCUCCUUCCUAGAAGCAAUCACUUCAUAUUGGGGUCAAAGUCCACCAGCAGGGAACAGAAGGAAGGCUCCAUCGCAUGGAAAAUUCUUGGCUUCCAGGACCGUCAAGGCAGUGUUGUUAAUGAGGAUUAACAUUCAACCAAAAGGAAGACAAAGAAGUAAUGAGAAUUCACUGUCCACUUUCUGGGAGAGGGCUCUCUGUUUCUGGCAGAGCAGCCAGAGUCCACUCGAGUUGUCCCUUUAAACCAUACCUGGUACAGAGACUUAUCUGGGAGUUCACUUGCCAGUUUUUUCUCUGUUACGGUCUAGACAGAUUAGAUUAGCAUCUAUCAUGUAAACACUUUGGAUUGGGAAAUAACUCUUGUCCUUUCUUAAAGUGUUUUUCCUGCAUGUAAAGCAGUGUGGUUUCUAAAGCCUGUUACAGUCUCACUCAUCAAUACUAUUCACAUUUUGGUAAGUGAUGUGAGUGUUCAUGGGAGGAGAAGGGGCUACAAUGGGCUAUUUGCCUGUUUGAACAGACUUAGGAAUUGAAAACAUGGAUUUUUGACAACUCAGCGCUUUAACAGCCACAAGUGAGCUGUUCUGGUCUAUUGAAGAAAUCCUUCCUACCUCAUGGAUCAGCAACCUAACAGACUUGCAGAACCAAUAUGCUUAAUCCUGCUGCCAAGACUCCACGUUCUGUCCACAUGCUAAAAAUCUUCAUGACAUCUUUUGUUGAGAAAAGGUGCAGCAUAUGAAUAACAGCCAUUUUCUACCCUCAUUGUCUCUACCUCUCCACAAAAUAGGACACACAAGGGCCUUGGCCCCAAAGCUUUCAUGCAUAUUCAGAACAGAAGUAUACAAAAUUCAGUCAACAUUGGCAGAUCUGGGCUCCUGCCUUGGUUUCAAGAAAGAGAUAAGUGUCAGUUGCUUUAUGUCCAAGACUAGAGUUAUUUUGCACCUAUCGUUUCAAGUAAUGUUAAAGGAAAGCCAAAAACUAACAGUGUAGUAACCUGAGGUACAGUCAGUGAUAGUCCUGCAAUACAUGAAUCUUAUACAUGGAAGAGAAUGUGUUAUAUUUUCUUUUUUGUUGUUGCUGUUUUCAAAAGGUAUUGCAUGCCACAAAUCUGCAGCCACUUUGAGCACAUUGAUGUAGACUUAGUGCAUAAACAUCAAACAAAAAUUUAAGUGGGAUGAAUAAGGGAUGAAGCAAUUGCAGUACCCUCUAAGACUUAAUCCAUAGUCACGAUCAAUAGAAAAAUGUUCAGGCAGAGGAGGACUGCAGACAUGACAGCGCAGUCAAUUGCUUGCAGGGUAGGAAGUCCUCAGCCUGCAAGCCUUUGACCAACAAGGUAGGUAAGCACAGUAAACAUUUACCUUGUAUCCAAUUACAAGUUGAAGUGGUGUUUUUCCAGUUUCUUCUGCAGGGUCAUGGGCAUGUGGUGUCCUCAAGAGCUCUGAAACUCUGUAAUUUAAAAAAAAAUGUCCUGAGAAAGGUGACAAGGCAUCAGUGGUUAAAUUAGAAUUAUUUCAGCAUAUAUAGAUUUGUUCAAAA
ensembl:lncRNA